UCCAAAUGGAAAUAAAGAUGUAGUCAACAAUGGCGGACCAGUUGCAUUAUACUGUAUAGAAACCAAUAAUUCUUGUUUGAAAAAAGAACAAGGCACCCACAUCCUUUGAUGAAACAGCACCACAUGCCUAGUUGACGGAGAGACUUGAGGUCAUCGACUUCGGCUAAAGGAUUGAAACACGACUAUAAAUAGGAUGCAGGAGUCGAAGGAGAUGUCAUACUAUAUUUGUUCAGUCAGUUGAGAGUGGGCUUGAAGAUGGUGAGAAAGGAGAAAUUGGUGAUUGCUGUUGCUUGGCUCCUGGUAAUGGCAUCCAUUAUCAUGUCAGCAAAUGCAACGGUAGCUGUUCGUCUGCAAUUAAUUGAGCGUGUGGUUCAACCCCAAGCUGGUUGUCGCUGCUGCUGGUUCAUUUGGAAGCCAUUAAUCCGCUGUGGAAAGGCAUGCUGUGAAGACGGAUGUUGCACUUGAUGCAUCCCAAAAGUGUUACCAUUUGUCACUACUAAAGUAGAAUAGCAAGAUGGUGCUAAAACUUACCAAAUAAAUAGAAAAAAGAAAUUAAUAAUUGUAUGUUGGAGCAUCAUUCUGUAAGCAGCAGAAGGUUCUAAUGGUUUGAUUUUCCCGAAUGAGGUUCUCUUUGGUUUCUGUGUUCAACAACUGAACUUUGCUUU